rnacentral:rRNA from 1 species
AUGAACGCUGGCGGCGUGCCUAAUACAUGCAAGUCGAGCGAACGGACGAGAAGCUUGCUUCUCUGAUGUUAGCGGCGGACGGGUGAGUAACACGUGGAUAACCUACCUAUAAGACUGGGAUAACUUCGGGAAACCGGAGCUAAUACCGGAUAAUAUUUUGAACCGCAUGGUUCAAAAGUGAAAGACGGUCUUGCUGUCACUUAUAGAUGGAUCCGCGCUGCAUUAGCUAGUUGGUAAGGUAACGGCUUACCAAGGCAACGAUGCAUAGCCGACCUGAGAGGGUGAUCGCCCACACUGGAACUGAGACACGGUCCAGACUCCUACGGGAGGCAGCAGUAGGGAAUCUUCCGCAAUGGGCGAAAGCCUGACGGAGCAACGCCGCGUGAGUGAUGAAGGUCUUCGGAUCGUAAAACUCUGUUAUUAGGGAAGAACAUAUGUGUAAGUAACUGUGCACAUCUUGACGGUACCUAAUCAGAAAGCCACGGCUAACUACGUG